rnacentral:tRNA from 1 species
GAAAUAAAAAAAAAUUAAGCUUCUAACUUAACCCUUAGCGAUAAAAAUCGUUAUUGUUUCU